ACUAGAUUUUGCGGGGAAAUUUUUCCGCUAGAUUGAGCGGGGGAAUUUUUCCACUAGAUUUAGCCGGAAAUUUUUCCGCUAAAUCUAGCAGGGAAAAUUUUCGCUAGAUUUAGCGGGGAAAUUUUUCCGCUAGAUUUAGCGGGGAAAUAUUUCUGCUAGAUCCAGCGGGGAAAUUUUUUCGCUAAAUCUAGCAGGGAAAAUUUUUCGCUAGAUUUAGCGGGGAAAUUUUCCCGCUAGAUUUAACGGGGAAAUUUUU
rnacentral:SRP_RNA from 1 species